AUACUUACCUGGCGUGGGGGCUACCGUGAUCAUCAAGGCGGUUCCCCCAGGGCGCUGCCCUUCCAUUGCACCUCGGUUGAAAUGACCCCUGCGAUGUGUCCCUAAUGUGGAUAACUCGGGCGCGCAAUUUUUGGUAGUCGGGACUGCGUACGCGCUGUCCAGG